rnacentral:rRNA from 1 species
CCAGACUCCUACGGGAGGCAGCAGUGAGGAAUAUUGGUCAAUGGGCGGAAGCCUGAACCAGCCAAGUCGCGUGAGGGAUUAAGGCCCUGCGGGUCGUAAACCUCUUUUGCCGGGGAGCAGAGGUCCGGACGUGUCCGGGCCGGGAGAGUACCCGGAGAAAAAGCAUCGGCUAACUCCGUGCCAGCAGCCGCGGUAAUACGGAGGGGGCAAGCGUUAUCCGGAUUUACUGGGUGUAAAGGGAGCGUAGGUGGCAGGGCAAGUCAGAUGUGAAAACCCGGGGCUCAACUCCGGGAUUGCAUUUGAAACUGUCCGGCUGGAGUGCAGGAGAGGUAAGUGGAAUUCCUAGUGUAGCGGUGAAAUGCAUAGAUAUUAGGAGGAACACCAGUGGCGAAGGCGGCUUACUGGACUGUAACUGACACUGAGGCUCGAAAGCGUGGGGAGCAAACAGGAUUAGAUACCCGCGUA